AGGGUUUGAUCCUGGCUCAGAUUGAACGCUGGCGGCAUGCCUCAUACAUGCAAGUCGAACGGAAACAGGGGGACGGAUUGAUUAUGUCAUGAAGUUUCUGCUGUCGAGUGGCGAACGGGUGAGUAACGCGUAGGAAUCUACCCAAGAGAGAGGGAUAGCCCGAAGAAAUUCGGAUUAAUACCCCAUAUUAUUCUAAGGAAGAAAGACGGCCUCUGAUGUAAGCUGUCGCUUUUGGAUGAGCCUGCGUUGGAUUAGCUAGUUGGUAGGGUAAAGGCCUACCAAGGCAUUGAUCCAUAGCUGUUCUGAGAGGAAGAUCAGCCACACUGGGACUGAGACACGGCCCAGACUCCUACGGGAGGCAGCAGUAGGGAAUAUUGCACAAUGGGGGGAACCCUGAUGCAGCGAUGCCGCGUGUGUGAAGAAGGCCUGCGGGUUGUAAAGCACUUUAAGUUACGAGAAAGGUGGGGGGACUGAAUAGGUUUUUCCAUUGCUGUUAGUGACAGAAUAAGCACCGGCUAACUCCGUGCCAGCAGCCGCGGUAAUACGGGGGGUGCGAGCGUUAAUCGGAAUUACUGGGCGUAAAGGGUAUGUAGGCGGUUGGCUAAGUUGUUCGUGAAAGACCUGGGCUUAACUUGGGUUUGUCGGGCGAUACUGGUUGGCUAGAAUUUGGCAGAGGCAAGUGGAAUUUCCUGUGUAGCGGUGAAAUGCGUAGAUAUGGGAAAGAACAUCAGUGGCGAAGGCGGCUUGCUGGGUCAAAAUUGA
rnacentral:rRNA from 1 species